rnacentral:rRNA from 1 species
UAGUAUAGCAACUAUACGGUGAAACUGCGAAUGGCUCAUUAAAUCAGUUAUCGUUUAUUUGAUAGUACCUUACUACAUGGAUAACCGUGGGUAAUUCUAGAGCUAAUACAUGCUAAAAACCCCGACUUCGGAAGGGGUGUAUUUAUUAGAUAAAAAACCAAUGCCCUUCGGGGCUCCUUGGUGAAUCAUAAUAACUUUAACGAAUCGCAUGGCCUUGCGCCGGCGAUGGUUCAUUCAAAUUUCUGCCCUAUCAACUUUCGAUGGUAGGAUAGUGGCCUACCAUGGUAUCAACGGGUAACGGGG